rnacentral:pre_miRNA from 1 species
UUGGUUUAAAUUAUUGUGCGCCUACACUUUCAAAAUUGAACUUACACAAAGUGGUGGGACAUAUUUUAAUUUCUUCCAA